CCUACGGGAGGCUGCAGUGGGGGAUAUUGCACAAUGGGGGGAACCCUGAUGCAGCGACGCCGCGUGGGUGAAGGAGUGCUUCGGCAUGUAAAGCCCUAUCGGCAGGGAAGAAGCAAGACGGUAUCUGACUAAGAAGCCCCGGCUAACUACGUGCCAGCAGCAGCGGUAAUACGGAGGAUGCGAGCGUUAUCCGGAUGUAUUGGGGUUACAGGGUGCGUAGGCGGUUUUUUAAGUUAGUGGUUAAACGUCGGGGCUUCACCUUGAUUUGCCAUUAAUACUGUAAGACUCGAGUUCAGACGAGGUAGGCAGAAUAAGUGAAGUAGCGGUGAAAUGCUUAGAGAUAACGUAGAACUCCGAUAGCGAAGGCAGCUUACCAGACGGCGACUGACGCUGAAGCACGAGAGCGUGGGUAGCGAACAGGAUUAGAUACCCGAGUAGUC
rnacentral:rRNA from 1 species